rnacentral:rRNA from 1 species
CAGCAGUGGGGAAUAUUGCACAAUGGGGGAAACCCUGAUGCAGCGACGCCGCGUGGAGGAAGAAGGUCUUCGGAUUGUAAACUCCUGUUGUUGAGGAAGAUAAUGACGGUACUCAACAAGGAAGUGACGGCUAACUACGUGCCAGCAGCCGCGGUAAAACGUAGGUCACAAGCGUUGUCCGGAAUUACUGGGUGUAAAGGGAGCGCAGGCGGGAAGACAAGUUGGAAGUGAAAUCUAUGGGCUCAACCCAUAAACUGCUUUCAAAACUGUUUUUCUUGAGUAGUGCAGAGGUAGGCGGAAUUCCCGGUGUAGCGGUGGAAUGCGUAGAUAUCGGGAGGAACACCAGUGGCGAAGGCGGCCUACUGGGCACCAACUGACGCUGAGGCUCGAAAGUGUGGGUAGCAAACAGGAUUAGAUACCCUGGUAGUCCACACCGUAAACGAUGAUUACUAGGUGUUGGAGGAUUGACCCCUUCAGUGCCGCAGUUAACACAAUAAGUAAUCCACCUGGGGAGUACGACCGCAAGGUUGAAACUCAAAGGAAUUGACGGGGGCCCGCACAAGCAGUGGAGUAUGUGGUUUAAUUCGAAGCAACGCGAAGAACCUUACCAGGUCUUGACAUCCUACUAACGAGAUAGAGAUAUGUUAGGUGCCCUUCGGGGAAAGUAGAGACAGGUGGUGCAUGGUUGUCGUCAGCUCGUGUCGUGAGAUGUUGGGUUAAGUCCCGCAACGAGCGCAACCCCUAUUGUUAGUUGCUACGCAAGAGCACUCUAGCGAGACUGCCGUUGACAAAACGGAGGAAGGUGGGGACGACGUCAAAUCAUCAUGCCCCUUAUGUCCUGGGCUACACACGUAAUACAAUGGCGGUCAACAGAGGGAAGCAAAGCCGCGAGGCAGAGCAAACCCCCAAAAGCCGUCCCAGUUCGGAUUGUAGGCUGCAACUCGCCUGCAUGAAGUCGGAAUCGCUAGUAAUCGCGGAUCAGCAUGCCGCGGUGAAUACGUUCCCGGGUCUUGUACACACCGCCCGUCAAACAAUGGGAGUGGUGUUUACCAGAAGUCGUUAGCCUAACCGCAAGGAGGGCGGCGACCACGGUGAGCACCGUGACUAAUGUUAAGUCGUAACAAGGUAGCCGUACCGGAAGGUGCGGCUG